rnacentral:lncRNA from 1 species
AUCGCUUUACAAAUGCUCUCUUUCUCGACAUCAAUAAUGCACUUCUUCGGUUUUUUCUUUGUGAUCCCCGACAGGAUGUGCUUGGUCAUCGAGUACGCGAUGGAGCGGGCGUGAUUCUGCCGGAAACACGGAAUCCAGCGCGAGGUACUACUUCAUGAACACGGCGGUUAUCCUUAACUACUCUCUUUAAGUGUAGUUUUUAUCCGAUUUUUUCAUAUAUUGCCAAAAAAAGCCUAUAUCUGAAAACUGCGCCGACUGGAUGAUACUGGCAGCGGUGUGUAACUGGUAUGCGAGGCCGACAUUUUGUUGCGGCUCACUGGGAAGAAGCACUUGUGUCAGACGGCAGGAGUGUGUUUCCUUCGGCAUUGUGUCAUGCCACAAAUAUAUUGCACUCAUGCCAAACAGGCUGCACACACGUCAAAAAGCUGCGGUUGCCUCUGGUCAUGAAGCAUGCAGUCAGUGGAUUUCUCUGGGCUCCAUCUCCAUCGUGCAGUGGCAUUGACUAGCCCUUGGCCGCUGAAAUCCAACUCUCCGGCAUGAACACGAUGCAUUUCACCUUUCUCUAUUUGCGAAAACUUUCAUGAAGUCACAAGCAACGACUGUUGGAAAGGCCGUGC